AUGGCUUUUGAUCUCUCCCAAGGACUUGUUCUUUCAUCUUCAUCUGUCAAGUUUUUCUCAAUUUUUGUAGUCAUAUUCCUCCUCCAUCAUAAUGUUGCUGCAGUACCACCACCCAAAAAUGGAACCACUCUAGCAGUCUUUACUUUCGGAGAUUCAUUUUUGGAUACAGGCAAUAACAACUACAUCAUUUCAAUAGGCAAAAGCAAUUUCCCACCUUAUGGGAGAGACUUUGUGGGAGGAAAGCCUACAGGAAGAUCUAGCAAUGGAAAACUCCCCUCUGAUCUUAUUGCUGAAAUAUAUGGAGUGAAGAAGAUAUUGCCGGCUUAUCUGGAUCCGACUUUGCAGCUUCAAGACUUACUUACCGGUGUGAACUUUGCUUCAGCAGGAUCAGGAUAUGAUCCUGAAACUGCCAAAUUGCUGACUGCCUUGGCACUACCAGAUCAGUUAAACUUGUUCAAAGAAUACAAAAGCAAAAUAACUGCAGCAGUUGGGAAUGAAACAACAGCCACUAUACUGUCGAAAAGCUUUUUUGUUCUUUCUGUGGGAAGCAUUGACCUUGCAUUUAAUUAUUUUGCUACACCACUGAGGAGUUCUCAAUAUGACAUUCAAGCAUACACAGAUCUCCUGAUUAAGUUUGCUUCAGAUUUCAUUCAGGCAAUUUAUGCAGUGGGAGCAAGAGUGAUUGGAAUACUAGGUGUACUACCAUCUGGGUGCUUUCCAUUUGAGAGAACUCUUCAUGGAGGCAUAGGGAGAGCGUGCUAUGAUACCGAGAACCAAGCAGCAGUCCUCUUCAACUCUAAGCUCCGCACCCUUAUAGAUUCCCUCAAUGUGAGACUUCCAGAAGCAAAAGUCAUUUACCUUGACAUAUAUACCACUUUGCUUUCAUUGAUCCAAAACCCUGCUCAAUAUGGAUUUGAAGUGGUGGAUAAAGGAUGCUGUGGAACAGGAAAUCUUGAAUUUGGCCCUCUGUGUAACAAACUCUCCCCGGGUACUUGUAACAAUGUGUCCGAGUACUUAUACUGGGAUAGCAUUCAUCCCACAGAGAAGGCAUACAGGAUCCUCACCUCUAUGAUUUUAGAGAAAAAUAGUUUUGAUUCUUGUAGCUGUAGUCUUUUAACUCUCAUUCUUCUCCUCAACAUAUAUAUUGCAUUGCACUGAUAUUUAACAGCAUUACCCACAAAUGAAACAACUCGAGCGGUGUUUGCUUUCGGAGAUUCAAUAUUCGAUACUGGCAAUAACGACUACAUAAUUUCUUUAGCCAAAAGCAAUUUCCCACCUUAUGGGAGAGACUUUGUGGGAGGAAAGCCUACUGGAAGAUUUUGCAAUGGAAAACUCCCCUCAGAUUUAGUUGCUGAAAAAUAUGGAGUGAAGAAGAUUUUGCCGGCUUAUCUGGAUCCGAAUUUGCAGCUUCAAGAUCUACUUACUGGUGUAUGUUUUGCCUCAGCAGGAUCAGGAUAUGACCCUCUCACUCCCAAACUACUUUCUGUCUUGUCACUACCAGAUCAAUUAGGCAUGUUCAGAAAAUACAAAAGCAAGAUAUCUGCAGCAGUUGGGAAUGAAAGAACAGCCACUAUACUGUCGAAAAGCAUUUCCUUUGUUUCCAUGGGAAGCAAUGACUUUGCAAUCAAUUAUUUUUCCACACCGCUGAGGAGCCCUCACUAUGACAUUCCAGCUUAUACAGAUCUCAUGAUUCAAUCAGCUUCAACUUUCUUGCAGGAACUUCAUGCACUGGGAUCAAGAGUGAUUGGAAUAUUAUCUGUACCACCAAUUGGGUGUUUGCCAGCACUGAGAACACUCGAUGGAGGUAUAGAGAAAGCCUGCUACGAAACUGCUAACCAAGCAGCAAUUCUCUUCAACUCAAAGCUCUCCCACCUUAUAAAUUCCCUUAAUGAGAGACUUCCAGAAGCACACUUCAUCUACAUUGAAAACUACAGCCCUUUGCUUUCUCUCUUACAAAACCCUGCUCAAUAUGGAUUUGAAGUGGUGGAUAAAGGAUGCUGUGGAACAGGAAACCUUGAAUUUGGCCCUCUGUGUAACAAAGCCUCCCCUGGUACUUGUACGGAUGUGUCCAAGUACUUAUUCUGGGAUAGCUUUCAUCCUACAGAGAAGGCAUACAGGAUCCUCUCCUCUAUUAGUUUAAAGGAUAUUAAGAUAUGAGGAUUUGUUCCUCUUAACAAUCACAUGACAGAUAUAUGUAUACUAUGUAUACUACAGAAAAAAUAUGUACGUGUAUACUUCAUGUAAUAACUUGUUCCAUAAUAUGUGUAAACUACACAAAAAAUACGGUUAUACGGUACAUGUAAUACUUCUCCGGUUUAAAAAGUACUGAAGAUUUAAUAA